rnacentral:rRNA from 1 species
GACAGAGGGUGCAAACGUUGCUCGGAAUCACUGGGCGUAAAGGGCGUGUAGGCGGGAAGGAAAGUCAGAUGUGAAAUCCCUGGGCUCAACCCAGGAACUGCAUUUGAAACUCCCUUUCUUGAGUACCGGAGAGGAAGGUGGAAUUCCUGGUGUAGAGGUGAAAUUCGUAGAUAUCAGGAGGAACACCGGUGGCGAAGGCGGCCAACUGGACGAGUACUGACGCUGAGACACGAAAGCGUGGGGAGCAAACAGG